GUAAGACUCCUGGAAGAACACCAGGUUGAUAGGUCAGAGAUGUAAGCAUGGCAACAUGUUAAGUUGACUGAUACUAAUAAGUCGAGGGCUUGACCAAAA
rnacentral:rRNA from 1 species